UUUAAUUAUCCAAGAUGGUGGUGUGUGGCAGUAGUACGCUAGGCUAAAAACAAACCUUAACCGGCUGGCGGGCCAGUUGUCAUUGGCCAAUUGUUUGGGUUAAGUAAGCUGCAGCAGCUGUUGCGUCAGCAACAUCAGAUAGAUCAGCUCACCCAAGUCUUGGCCGGUAUUCACACCACUUCUGCUUGUGGUCUUAUGUCUCGUUCCACUACAAUGAUUUGCAAACUGUGCCAACAACCAGAAUUGGUGUGGCCAGCUAUAGCAAGAGUGUGCCUUCCUGUGUGUCGGUGGUGGUGCUUCUGGCAGUUGCAGUGCUUAAAAGAGAGGUGUUGUAUGUCUUAUGGUGUUGGGGUGCAUAUCUGUUGUUUGUCCUCUGGCAUAACGAAGCCUGUAUCCAAUUCUGGAGAGGUACCAAUUGUGAUUGUUUGUUUUUGCAUAUGAAUGAAUUUAUGUGCAAUUUGAAAUAAAGAAUUUUGUAAUUACAA